GAGAAAUUUCAGUAAUUUGGGUUGAUUUGGAUCAUGAUGGUCGGAUUAGUGGUGCCGAAGCCGUCGCUUUUUUUCAAGGAUCUGGCUUGAAUCAACAAGUUCUUGCCCAGGGAGAUGAAGAUGGAAGAUCAGAGAAUUAAAGUUGAGAAGAGAGGGCUGGAUACAUUUGCUGAACUGUUGAAGAAGGGAAGGUAAAAACUUGAUGGAUGUUGAGGAGCUUCUAUACUGUUGGAGGAAUCUGAAAAGUCCGGUUUUCGUGGAUUUGGUAAGUAGGUUUUAUGGAGAGUUAUGCAGGGACCUGUUUUCUUCUUCUGGAGAGACCUAAAGCCAGCAGACCAGUAUCUCAUCAGAAUGACAAACAUUACAUUUAGUAUUCUUCUCAAAUUCAUCUCUUGAUUUUCUAUGUGUCUCUCUCUUCUGUUGCAAGUAAGAAUCCUUAAAAGGUCUAUUGUUGUUAUGUAUGCCGUUUUACACAUUUGUAAUCUGAUGGCAUACACAUUUUAGAGAUCUUUUUUGUUGGUUACUAAAGCAACAAUGUGUUGCAUUGCAAAGAGAUUCUAGCUGUCAAGUUGGAUGACUGUUGCUCCAAGUUUGUGCUCUAAUUUUUUAGUAGCAACAAACAUAAUGGUUGGUACAGAAGAAGCAUAUAGUAUAUGAAAAAUUCUUAGGUAAGAUGAAAGUGACACCAAGUUUGAGUUCAUGGGAUCCCACCUCCCUGAAGCUUUUCUAGACGUGUGCCCCAAUAUUGUAGACCACCCCUCUCCUAUGCGGAGGAGCUUCAAUUUCCCCUGACUUUCCUCCACUGCCUACAAAACUCGCAAACAACGUUGCAAGUAAACA